AUGGGAGUUGCUACCAAAAUCUUUCGUUCGCACGUUCAAGGCAGCAAAAAAGCAAAAGCAACAGCCACAUCAAGAAGCGCAACAAGAAGGCCAAGAACAGUACGGUACAGUAAGGACUGCCUGUGCGGAAUGUUGUAAAUAAAUACGCCUAAUUGGAACUGCCCUGCAAGCCUCACUGUACUUCAGCCCAAAGGAGAUGGCGUUUGGCGAGCAGGGAGCAAGUGGAGGAGACCCGGGGAGCUGUAGACACCGAAACCGAAACAGUAACAUCCUGGCGGAAAAGUACUCACAUACAUAUGUACAUGUGUACUUGCGCGACGAGUCUAAUACCAAUAAUCCUUUGGUUUUACCAUAAUAACAAGAUAUAGAGCUAUUCGCCAUUUCACCUUUAUCGCGCCGAUUGAUUCCACGGCGGCCACGCCCACUUGCUUGAGAGCCA
ensembl:ncRNA lncRNA:CR34052 long non-coding RNA:CR34052